UUCGGUAGAGGGUGACUGCGGAGGGAUCAUUACCGAGUUAUACAACUCAUCAACCCUGUGAACAUACCUAUAACGUUGCCUCGGCGGGAACAGACGGCCCCGUAACACGGGCCGCCCCCGCCAGAGGACCCCCUAACUCUGUUUCUAUAAUGUUUCUUCUGAGUAAACAAGCAAAUAAAUUAAAACUUUCAACAACGGAUCUCUUGGCUCUGGCAUCGAUGAAGAACGCAGCGAAAUGCGAUAAGUAAUGUGAAUUGCAGAAUUCAGUGAAUCAUCGAAUCUUUGAACGCACAUUGCGCCCGCCAGUAUUCUGGCGGGCAUGCCUGUUCGAGCGUCAUUACAACCCUCAGGCCCCCGGGCCUGGCGUUGGGGAUCGGCGGAAGCCCCCUGCGGGCACAACGCCGUCCCCCAAAUACAGUGGCGGUCCCGCCGCAGCUUCCAUUGCGUAGUAGCUAACACCUCGCAACUGGAGAGCGGCGCGGCCACGCCGUAAAACACCCAACUUCUGAAUGUUGACCUCGAAUCAGGUAGGAAUACCCGCUGAACUUAAGCAUAUCAA
rnacentral:rRNA from 1 species